GGGGCCGUAGUCUAGCCUGGCUAGGAUGCUCGGCUUGGGCUGCCACCGUGGGCGACAAAAGUAAAGCCCACGGUCACGAGAGCCCGAGUGAUCCCGGGUUCAAAUCCCGGCGGCCCCA
rnacentral:tRNA from 1 species